rnacentral:rRNA from 1 species
GAUGAACGCUAGCGGCAGGCCUAAUACAUGCAAGUCGAACGGUGUCUUCGGACAUAGUGGCGCACGGGUGCGUAACACGUAUGCAACCUACCUUACAUUGGGGGAUAGCCUUUCGAAAGGGAGAUUAAUACCGCAUAAGACAGUAGCUGGGCAUCCAGCAGCUGUUAAAGAUUUAUCGAUGUAAGCUGGGCAUGGGGCCAAUUAGCUAGUUGGUGAGGUAACGGCUCACCAAGGAAAUGAUUGGUAGGGGAACUGAGAGGUCAAUCCCCCACACUGGCACUGAGAUACGGGCCAGACUCCUACGGGAGGCAGCAGUAGGGAAUAUUGGGCAAUGGACGCAAGUCUGACCCAGCCAUGCCGCGUGCAGGAUGAAGGCGUUAUGCGUUGUAAACUGCUUUUAUACAGGAAGAAACGACUCUUGCGAGAGGCAUUGACGGUACUGUAUGAAUAAGCACCGGCUAACUCCGUGCCAGCCGCCGCGGUAACAC